rnacentral:sRNA from 3 species
CAUCGGCAGUUUUUGCCGAAGUCCGGUCUCAGGCCCGUCCCCCGCCUAUCCGGACCCUGCGGCAGCCUCAUCCCCCUCUCCGGGCUGCCGCACCGUUUGAAGAAUGUGCCGCCGUGGCUCCCCCCUCCACCACGGCGGCACUUUUUU